rnacentral:rRNA from 1 species
UGGGGAAUAUUGCACAAUGGGCGCAAGCCUGAUGCAGCAACGCCGCGUGAACGAUGAAGGUCUUCGGAUCGUAAAGUUCUGUUGCAGGGGAAGAUAAUGACGGUACCCUGUGAGGAAGCCCCGGCUAACUACGUGCCAGCAGCCGCGGUAAUACGUAGGGGGCUAGCGUUAUCCGGAUUUACUGGGCGUAAAGGGUGCGUAGGUGGUCCUUCAAGUCGGUGGUUAAAGGCUACGGCUCAACCGUGGAGGGUCAUUGGAAACUAAUAAACUUGAGUGCAGGAGAGAAAAGUGGAAUUCCUAGUGUAGCGGUGAAAUGCGUAGAGAUUAGGAGGAACACCGGUGGCGAAAGCGGCUUUUUGGCCUGCAACUGACACUGAGGCGCGAAAGCGUGGGGAGCAAACAGG